CCUACGGGGGGCAGCAGUAGGGAAUAUUGCUCAAUGGGGGAAACCCUGAAGCAGCAACGCCGCGUGGAGGAUGAAGGUUUUCGGAUUGUAAACUCCUUUUGUUAGAGAAGAUAAUGACGGUAUCUAACGAAUAAGCACCGGCUAACUCCGUGCCAGCAGCCGCGGUAAUACGGAGGGUGCAAGCGUUACUCGGAAUCACUGGGCGGAAAGAGCGCGUAGGCGGGAUAGUAAGUCAGAUGUGAAAUCCUAUGGCUUAACCAUAGAACUGCAUUUGAAACUGUUAUUCUAGAGUAUGGGAGAGGUAAGUGGAAUUCUUGGUGUAGGGGUAAAAUCCGUAGAGAUCAAGAGGAAUACUCAUUGCGAAGGCGACCUGCUAGAACAUAACUGACGCUGAUGCGCGAAAGCGUGGGGAGCAAACAGGAUUAGAUACCCGGGUAGUC
rnacentral:rRNA from 1 species